rnacentral:rRNA from 1 species
CUACGGGUCGCUGCAGUGAGGAAUUUUGCGCAAUGGGGGAAACCCUGACGCAGCAACGCCGCGUGAGUGAUGAAGGCCUUCGGGUCGUAAAGCUCUGUCAAGUGGGAAGAAUGUAUUCAUGGCUAAUAUCCAUGGGUAGUGACGGUACCACUGAAGGAAGCACCGGCUAACUCCGUGCCAGCAGCCGCGGUAAUACGGAGGGUGCAAGCGUUAUUCGGAUUUACUGGGCGUAAAGCGCGCGCAGGCGGUUUUGUAAGUCGGAUGUGAAAGCCCUGGGCUUAACCCGGGAAGUGCAUUCGAUACUGCAUAACUUGAGUAUGGGAGAGGGAAGCGGAAUUCCUGGUGUAGAGGUGAAAUUCGUAGAUAUCAGGAGGAACAUCGGUGGCGAAGGCGGCUUCCUGGACCAAUGCUGACGCUGAGGCGCGAAGGCGUGGGGAGCAAACAGGAUUAGAUACCCCUGUAGUC